CUCGUACGCCUGUUGAGGGCAGAUGAAGUGAAUAUGGGAGUCCAUACCCCCAGCCGUGACGAUCUUGUUCUCGCCAGCGAUGACAUCGGUGCAGCUACCCACGAUCAUACCAUCUGUAACACCAUCCAUGACAUCCGGAUUUCCUGCUUUUCCAAUACCCACGAUGAGACCACCUUUGACACCGAUGUCGGCCUUGUAGAUGCCCGUGUAGUCGACGAUGAGCGCGUUCGUGACGACGAGAUCAAGACUGUCAGCGUCGGCGCACCCGCUCAUCUGCCCCAUGCCCUCGCGCAG
rnacentral:sRNA from 1 species